GUGGCCCAGCUGGGAUGGUCCUGGAGCAUCCGGGGGUGGUGUCCCUAUGGCCACGUGGUGUCCCCGUGGCCGUGCUGAUGUCCCCGCGCCGUGUCCCCAGAGCCUGCUGGUGCUGCUGGACCUGCUGGGCACCCAGCACCCCGCCAUCCACAGCCACUUCCCCCGCACCCACCACUGGUUCCUGCGCCUCGUCGCCAUCGGUGCGCUGCGGGGACACGGGGACGUGGGGACGUGGGGACACGGGGACGGGUGUGGGGUCAGGGCGUGGAUGGGGACAGGGCAUGGACGGGCCCUGCGGAUGUGCAAAGGGCUGGGGACGUGGCGUGGGGACAGGAGGGGUGACAAGGGGCUGGGGACAGGGCGUGGGUGGCACCUGGGGGACGCCCGUGGGUUUGGGGACAAGCAUGUGGUCGGCAUGGGGUGGGGUGACGUGGGGAUGGGGACAGGGUGGGUGCUGGGACACGGGCGGUGGUCGCGAGGAUGGGAAUGGGGACACGGAUGGGACGAGGAGGCUGGGAUGGGGACAAAGAUGGAGACAGGAUGGGGACGGGGGUGUCACAGAGUGCCUUUCCCUGUGUCCCCCCCUGUGUCCCCUUUGUGUCCCCGGUGCACAGAGAAACGACUGCGGAGCCUGGGGCUGCUGCACGCCUCCCCCCAGGACCAGCCCUUUUUCCGGCUCAGCCCAGCCCCGGGGCCCGUCGAGGACGACCACGUCCCCUUCCUGCAACGUGGCGUCCCCGUGCUGCAUCUCAUCCCCAUGCCCUUCCCCUGGGUCUGGCACACCACCGAGGACAACGAGGACAACCUCCACCUGCCCACCGUGGAGGACCUCUGCAAGAUCCUCGCCGCCUUCGUGGCCGAGUUCCUGCAGCUCUGAGCCACCCGGACACCCCGACACCCUCCGGCCUGAGCCCCCCCGGGGCGUCGGGGCAGCCCCUGGCUGCGCUGGGAGCCCCCACUAAUAAAAUCCUCGGUGCCUGGCGUCGUGUCCUGCGCUGUCACCCACCCCUGGGGACACCCACGGGGACGCGGUUCGGAACAGGCUCGCUGGGUGGA
rnacentral:lncRNA from 1 species